rnacentral:rRNA from 1 species
UACGGAGGGCGCGAGCGUUAAUCGGAAUUACUGGGCGUAAAGCGCGCGUAGGCUGUUGUGUAAGUUGGGGGUGAAAUCCCACGGCUCAACCGUGGAACAGCCCUUGAUACUGCGCGACUUGAAUCCGGGAGAGGGUGGCGGAAUUCCAGGUGUAGGAGUGAAAUCCGUAGAUAUCUGGAGGAACACCAGUGGCGAAGGCGGCUUGCUGGACGAUGACUGACGUUGAGGCUCGAAAGCGUGGGGAGCAAACAGG